rnacentral:rRNA from 1 species
UACGUAGGGUGCAAGCGUUAAUCGGAAUUACUGGGCGUAAAGCGUGCGCAGGCGGUUUUGUAAGUUUGUCGUGAAAGCCCCGGGCUCAACCUGGGAAUUGCGAUGAAGACUGCAAGGCUUGAAUCUGGCAGAGGGGGGUAGAAUUCCACGUGUAGCAGGUGAAAUGCGUAGAGAUGAUGGAGGAACACCGAUGGCGAAGGCAGCCCCCUGGGUCAAGAUUGACGCUCGAUGCACGAAAGCGUGGGGAGCAAACAGG